CAGUGGGGGACAACAGUUGGAAACGACUGCUAAUACCGCAUAAUGUAUUCUGACCGCAUGAUCGGAAUACCAAAGAUUUAUUGCUGAAAGAUGGCCCCGCGUCUGAUUAGAUAGUUGGUGGGGUAACGGCCUACCAAGUCGACGAUCAGUAGCCGGACUGAGAGGUUGAACGGCCACAUUGGGACUGAGAUACGGCCCAGACUCCUACGGGAGGCAGCAGUCGGGAAUAUUGCGCAAUGGAGGAAACUCUGACGCAGUGACGCCGCGUAUAGGAAGAAGGUUUUCGGAUUGUAAACUAUUGUCGUUAGGGAAGAUACAAGACAGUACCUAAGGAGGAAGCUCCGGCUA
rnacentral:rRNA from 1 species